GGAGGGAUGGCAGAGUGGUUGAAUGCACCGGCCUUGAAAGCCGGAGGGGUGAGAAAACCCUCGUGGGUUCGAAUCCCACUCCCUCCG
rnacentral:tRNA from 1 species